rnacentral:rRNA from 1 species
GAUGAACGCUAGCGGCAGGCCUAACACAUGCAAGUCGAGGGAGAAGCCCUUUCGGGGGCAGAAACCGGCGCACGGGUGCGUAACGCGUAUGCAACCUACCUUUCACAGGGGGAUAGGCCGAAGAAAUUGGGAUUAAUACUCCAUAAUAAUAUUGGAUGGCAUCAUUUGAUAAUUAAAAGUGCGGUGGUGAAAGAUGGGCCGGCGUCCUAUUAGCUAGUUGGAGUGGUAACGGCACCCCAGGGCUACGAUAGGUAGGGGUCCUGAGAGGGCGAUCCCCCACACUGGUACUGAGACAGCGACCAGACUCCUACGGCAGGCAGCAGUGAGGAAUAUUGGUCAAUGGUCGGCAGACUGAACCAGCCAUGCCGCGUGCAGGAAGAAUGCCUUAUGGAUUGUAAACUUCUUUUAUAUGAGAAGCAUAAGGUGUACGUGUACAUUGAUGACGGUACCCUAUGAAUAAGCAUCGGCUAACUCCGUG